rnacentral:lncRNA from 1 species
AGAUCUUCGUUGCACCGGUGAGGGUGACCUUCGCCGUCUUAUAGGCGGUGGUGAUCGACGGCGACGCAGUGGAGAAGGUGAUCUGUGUCGACGCAGUGGAGAAGGUGAUCUGUGUCGACGUGCUGGAGAAGGUGAUCUGUGUCGACGCAGUGGAGAAGGUGAUCUGUGUCGACGCAGUGGAGAAGGUGAUCUGUGUCGACGUGCUGGAGAAGGUGAUCUGCGUCGACUUGCUGGAGAAGGUGAUCUGCGUCGACGUGCUGGAGAAGGUGAUCUGCGUCGACGUGCUGGAGAAGGUGAUCUGCGUCGACGUGCUGGAGAAGGUGAUCUGCGUCGACGUGCUGGAGAAGGUGAUCUGCGUCGACGUGCUGGAGAAGGUGAUCUGUGACGGCGUGCUGGAGAAGGUGAUCUGUGACGACGUGCGGGAGAAGGUGAUCUGUGUCGACGUGCUGGAGAAGGUGAUCGUGUUGGGGAAGGUGAUCUACAUCUUUUAAUAGGAGAGGGUGUUCUGCGUCGACGAAAAGGUGAACUGUGGCGAUAUGGAGAGUGCAUUCUACGUCGAAU